GAGAGAGAGAGAGGUGGAGGAGGAGGAGGAGAGGGGAGAGAGAUGGAAGAGAGAGAGAGAGAGAGGUGGAGGAGGAGAGGGGAGAGCGAUGGAGAAGAGUGGGAGCAAGAGAAAGAAAGAGAGAGAUGCCCAGCUGCGAGACAUGAGAGAGGGCUCAUGGGGUGAGAUGGCUGCUGACUGACUCAGUAAGUGUGUGUGCGUGCGUCUGUGUUUACAUUUGUGUGUACGUAUGCCUGUGUGCGUUCGUGUGUGUGUGUGUGUGUCAUUAGAUGUAUGCUUCUUAGCUCAUUGGCACAGUGACACCCCUUCCCAGCCCCCCUCCCCUCAUCUCUGCUGCCAUGCCAGUGCCUUGGUUCUUGUGUCUGAGCUGGCGCCAAGUCUAUGGCACAGAGCUACAUAAUAAAGAGAAAAAAAAGCCAUCCAUAGCUAUUUCCUGUUAUUCUAGAGACUUCCACAAUGGGGUAACCGCAGCGACCUCAAUGAGAUGAAAGUAGUGUGAAGUCAAUGGAGUAGUCAGUCCCCCUCCUGUCCCCUUCUCUUCCCAACCACCCUGUGGCUCAUGUCUCAGACUAACUACCCAAUUUAUUAAACAUAGAGGAAAACUCCGCUCCAAAACUUUCUUUUGGUAUUUUUUUUCAUUAGUCCACUGCUGACAUGCAACACAUUCUGGGACUACAUCAACAGUGGCCUGAUGAAAAAAAUACAAACAUAUUUUCUGCUUUAACUUGAUGAAUUAACAUGGUAAUGUGUGUAUACAACUGCCAACGUCUCUGUAAUGAUGGUUUGUAUGUACUGUAGGUAGUUUGAUGGGUGCUGAUAGUGUUGUUUUCAUAUGAUAUUGGCAGCAACCCUUGAUGAGGGUGUCACAAACUCCUCCAAAGGAGUUAUCUGCUUUGGGGUUGUGGUUCGAGUCCCAGCUGGAAUACCCCUGAAAACGCUAUAAUAUGUUGCCAUGUUGGAUGGGAUGUCAGUCCCAGUUAUGUGGAUUAAUUAGUGUUAUUGUCUGUUCUGAUGUAUUCACAGGUGGGGUACGAGAUGCCAAUAAGAGAUCCGUGUUCUCAGGUGAGCAUCUAAACCCAAAGAGACAAGAGGGGACUUCAUUUGAUGGAGCCUCCAUGUCUGUCUGUCCAUGACCUCACUCAGAGUCCCCGGCACCACUGCAGUGUAUGUUGCCCCGGCAACUACCAAUAGGUGACUCAGAAGCCUCCAUUUUCCUUUAUAGACCCUCCAAUUAGUCCUUAGAUUG
rnacentral:lncRNA from 1 species